AGAGAAGAAAAACUAGUAGUGCUGUUAUCGGCUCCGCGGUUUCACCGUCCGAGUGUUUUUAAUGUUGAAACUACUUCUCUACGGCGUCAAUGGCGAUACGAGAAACCGCUUAAAGAUUCUUUCUUUUGUUCUCUUUUUAAAAUUUUUUUUCCUAACUUUUUAAAACCCUACCCACUCCCCUUACUUCCAAGAACGUUUUGGUAGGUAGAAGAACUGAUAAUUCUGGGGAAUGAUGCUUACAAGUUUCAAAGGUCCUACAAUUUCUGGAGGAUUGACAAAUAGGAAGAGGGAAUGGAACAAGAUAAACAAGUCUACAAGCUCUCAUUCUUUAUUAAACCAAACUGAAUUUUGUAAAUUUAGGAAGGAAUUGGGCUGCGCAGAUGGUGUGCGAAACUGCCAUUUAUCUGCAGUACAUAGAAAUUCGUUGUUGUCACCUUUAGUGGCACAUAGAAAUUCCCGUUUUCCGGUGUUUCGCAAUCAGUUAAGGUCUGACUUUGGUGUGGAAGAUGUGGAGGAGAGACUUGCGUCGAACGAAGAAGAGGAUACUGCCCUGUUAAAUUCAACUGAAAAUGUCAAUGCCCGUGAAGUGACAGGAACAUCGGUGGAUGUCAAGAGGGAACUUAUUAUGCUUUCUCUGCCUGCGAUUGCUGGACAGGCUAUUGAUCCCUUAGCACAGCUGAUGGAGACAGCAUACAUUGGAAGAUUAAGUUCUGUGGCAUUGGCUUCAGCUGGUGUUUCCGUAUCAGUGUUUAACAUAAUAUCAAAGUUGUUUAAUAUGCCCCUCCUCAGUGUUGCUACUUCCUUUGUUGCUGAAGACAUCUCAAAGAACGCAGUUGAAAAUUUGUUAGCAGGGGAGCGUGCUAAUGGUAAGCCUCUGGAUAGUAUAGCUGAAAGAAAGCAAUUAUCCUCAGUGUCUACAGCUUUAGUUCUAGCAGUUUUGAUUGGCAUCUUUGAGGCCUUGGUAUUGUCUUUGGGAUCUGGACUAUUUCUUAAUUUCAUGGGAGUACCCUCUACAUCAGAUAUGCAUGCUCCAGCACAGCAAUUUCUUUCUCUUAGAGCUCUUGGUGCUCCUGCUGUGGUAGUCUCUUUGGCUCUUCAAGGAAUUUUUCGGGGGUUUAAAGAUACAAAGACUCCUGUUUUUUGUUUAGGUGUUGGUAAUUUAUUAGCCAUAUUCUUUUUCCCCCUAUUUAUGUAUGGCUUCGGAAUGGGUGUGACUGGAGCAGCUCUCUCCACUGUUUUAUCUCAGUACAUUGUUGCCUUUUUGAUGAUCAGGUAUUUAAACAAGAGAGUUGUAUUAAUGCCUCCAAAGAUGGGGGCAUUGCAAUUUGAUACCUACAUAAAAUCUGGUGGUUUUCUUAUAGGAAGAACUCUUGCAGUGCUAAUAACAAUGACACUGGGGACUUCUAUGGCUGCUCGUCAAGGUUCAUUGUCUAUGGCUGCACAUCAGAUAUGCAUGCAAGUAUGGCUGGCUGUAUCUCUUCUUACUGAUGCACUUGCAGCAUCUGGUCAGGCCUUGAUUGCAAGUUCUCUAUCUAAAGGUGAAUUAAAGACUGUGAAGGAAAUUACGAACUUUGUGUUGAAGAUAGGGUUUGUCACAGGUGUUUCAUUGGCUGCAAUCUUGGGUGUAUCCUUUGGUUCUUUGGCCACCUUGUUCACCCAAGAUACUGAAGUUCUAGGAAUUGUUAAAACUGGGAUACUGUUCGUCAGUGCUAGUCAACCAAUAAAUGCUUUAGCAUUUAUAUUUGAUGGUCUCCAUUAUGGUAUCUCAGACUUCCCAUAUGCAGCUUGUUCCAUGAUGUUGGUGGGUGCGAUGUCUUCUGCAUUUUUGCUCUUUGCUCCUACAGUUCUUGGUCUUCGAGGAAUUUGGUUGGGCAUGACUCUCUUUAUGGGUCUGCGAAUGACAGCAGGAUUUGUCAGAAUACUAUCAAAAACGGGGCCUUGGUGGUUCCUGCAUAGGGACUUUGAGAGAGCUGAGUUCAGUGUAUGUUCAUAAAACCACAGUUCAGAGCUGGUUAAGAUUCUCAAACUGUAGAGUGGAACUCUUGCUUCAGGUGAGCCAGCCAUGCAGUCUUUGAAAAGUGGGGGACGCAAAAAUGUCUCUAAGCUUUUUAUCUCCCCUGAAUCCAGUAGCCAGUAUCACCAAAUCUGUCUUUAGAGGUGAAUCUUCAUCAUCUACCAUUAUGCCUUCUUCACAGAAGCUUAUAUUUUGGGUCUUUUUCGGUAAGAUGCUUCCUUCCUCAACUCUGUCAUAGAAGUUUUUUGGCACUGUGGAGGUCAAACAGGAGCUAAAUUCUUUAUGAAAGCUGUGCUUUGGUACCAUCCCAAACUUUGCCAGAGGCAGUUUCCAUUUGAUAUAACUCUCGACAAAUUUUGAGAAUACCCAUCUCUGUUUAAUAGCAAAGAACCAAUUUCAGUCUGCUGCAGUUAAUUUCCUGAAGGUGCUCAAGAUGUACCUUAGAUAAGAAAUUUUAUUAGUUACCAGACGUGAAAGAAUUGUUGCCAAUGAACCGAGGAGGAAGCCUUCACCAGGCUUAUGAACCAAAAGCUCUGAGAAGCGAUUGAGGAAUAAAUAAGCUAGUGGCACUCCCCACGGAAGGUAAUUGGGGACGCCCCGCUGUUCGGCCUUGUAUAAUACUGUACAAGGAAGUUCUACACCUGGAAGCAGGAUUAGAUGGAAACUUAAUGUCAAAGAAAAUCCAGCCUGUGGGUUUUGCAUACAUCUUAGAACUAAAGAAGCUUUGUAAUCUUACCAUUUGCUGUAGAACAUUCCAUUGCGGUGUCCAAGGCAGAUUUCUGGAGUCCGACAACAACAAUUCGCUUCCCUUUGAUGCAUUUAGCGGCAAGUUUGUAAUCCAUGGCAGCAUAAUCCAUGGAGUGUAUUACCUCACCGUGAAAGGUUUCUGGCCCUUUUCCUGGAGGAAACGAUGGAAUGUUUGGAAUGCCGCUGAACCGGCCUAGGCCAAGGACUACAAAGUCCCACCUGAAUGAUUCUGGGUGUCCUGUACUACAACAUUCCACUUUCCUUUGGAGCUGAAGGGCUCAUCAGUCCCACCCCAGAGAUGCCAAGAUCGCAUCUCUUCAUCCGUUGGCCCUUCGAAGUCAAUGCUAACGACUUUGGCAUUGAAUCUGACAUGCCGAAGCAAGUCAAAAUGAUGGGCAUAAGCUUCAAUAUACUCCAGCACUUGAUGCUGGCUAGGGAGCUCUUCUGCGACUGAAGAUUGCCAUGGAAAAUCUGAGAACUGAUAAAAUUGUUUUGAGGUCUGAAGUUUUGUCCUCUCAAGUGCUGUGGUCCGAACUCCUCCGAUGCUGCUUUGGGACUCGAAAACUGUCGGAUGGAAACCCUUUGAGAGGGUGUACUUGCAUGCGAGGAGGCCGCUAAUACCAGCUCCGAUGAUGGCUAUUUGCUUCUCCAUUUGAUCAACAUGUUCGGACACUGAAACUUGGUACACUCAACCAGUUUUCUCCCAUCAAAGAAAAUCUUGAAACCAUGACUACUUAGCUGAUACGUAAGGUAGGUUCGUCACUUGAACCGAGUGAUUGAUUAAUCGUUAGAAAAGAUUUAAGCAAAUAAAUAAACACCCUUCACGUGAA